CCUACGGGGUGCAGCAGUGGGGAAUAUUGGACAAUGGGCGAAAGCCUGAUCCAGCCAUGCCGCGUGUGUGAAGAAGGCCUUCGGGUUGUAAAGCACUUUCAGUGGGGAAGAAAGCCUUGGGGCUAAUACCCUCGAGGAAGGACAUCACCCACAGAAGAAGCACCGGCUAACUCCGUGCCAGCAGCCGCGGUAAUACGGAGGGUGCGAGCGUUAAUCGGAAUUACUGGGCGUAAAGCGCGCGUAGGCGGUCUGAUAAGCCGGUUGUGAAAGCCCCGGGCUCAACCUGGGAACGGCAUCCGGAACUGUCAGGCUAGAGUGCAGGAGAGGAAGGUAGAAUUCCCGGUGUAGCGGUGAAAUGCGUAGAGAUCGGGAGGAAUACCAGUGGCGAAGGCGGCCUUCUGGACUGACACUGACGCUGAGGUGCGAAAGCGUGGGUAGCAAACAGGAUUAAAUACCCCAGUAGUC
rnacentral:rRNA from 1 species